rnacentral:piRNA from 1 species
GAAUUUCAGCUUUGGGUGCUGACGGUGGG